GCUUUAGUCUUACUGUUAUAUGACGUUGUAAGGUCUUGUGAGAAUAAUUAAUAAAGUGGCCGUAUGCAUCGCUCAGAUGCAGAGGCUGAUGGUCCUCCUCUUUUAAAAAAAAAAUCUGGCGAGUCAGGUGGAAAUUCUCCAGGGUCCAAAGUUUGAUCCCAGUACAGCAAUAGACGGUACUCGCCGGUUGGGCUAUGCGGGUACGAGAACGUAUCCUAUGAAACGCCCAGACUGGUGCACCAGAUGCACCAGUAGAUUCUGAGCCACUCGAUCGAGAAUUAAUGGACCAGAUGCAUUAGAAGAUGGGUGGUUCGUACAUUUUACAUCUUGCACCUCGUAUAGUUAAUCAUUUGCGCGAAUCCUAUCGUCUCCUUCCGUUGCCUGUCUCCUGUACCUCUCUCUGUUCUCCUCUGUACCAGGCCCUCCAGCUGCGAGCUAGGGUUCGGGGAGCCUGCUCCGUUGCCUCUCUCGCCCCCUCUCCUGGACCUUCUCCACCUUCUAUCUUGUAUCUAGUUCCGACGUCUUUAAAGCACCAGCGCCCCUCCUCUCCUCUGAGUCGCUCCCAGCGAAGACGCCAUUGCCGCCGGCGAGCGCGUACAUGUAGCGCCGCUGUGUUGUAGCUCCGGGGGACGACGACGGAACUACCCAAAGGAGCCGGCUAUCUUCUGCGCCUCGAGAAUCUAGGGGCAAAUAUCAUCCAAAAGGUCCCAGAUAAGUAGGGGCGGUGGUUUCACUGAUUUGAUGGUCGGAUAAUUAUUUAAGUCAUUCAGUUGUCUACAUUCUUGCUGGAAAUGGUGGUGAUAUUUGUAGGAGAUGAGGUUUUCGACUUGUGUUCUUUCCAGGAGAUCACAUUUGAAAGUGUGUCACUGAAGCAUGCAUAUGUUCUAUGCAUGUAACUCUGGAUGCACUUACUGUUAGCUUCAGGAAGUUGCUAGCACUGAACCAUGUCUCAUUCGUCGUGUUUAACCGGGAUGAAAAGAUUGUAUGACCUGACAAGGAAGUUUCUGGAACUGAUGUAUUUCCGUUCAUUUGCAAUGGAAAGGGGUUAAAGCCCGGUUCAAAAAAAAUGACCUGACAAGGAAUUGCUAAGCCUAGCUUAAUGUAGAUUUCAACAUUUGGUUUGUCUUUCUGUGUUACUUGUAGCCAACCUGCUAUAUGUCAUGCUCAUGUGCCUACUUGCUGAAUUAGUGCGACCUUAUUACUA